UACGUAGGGUGCAAGCGUUAAUCGGAAUUACUGGGCGUAAAGCGUGCGCAGGCGGUGAUGUAAGACAGUUGUGAAAUCCCCGGGCUCAACCUGGGAACUGCAUCUGUGACUGCAUCGCUGGAGUGCGGCAGAGGGGGAUGGAAUUCCGCGUGUAGCAGUGAAAUGCGUAGAUAUGCGGAGGAACACCGAUGGCGAAGGCAAUCCCCUGGGCCUGCACUGACGCUCAUGCACGAAAGGCGUGGGGAGCAAACAGG
rnacentral:rRNA from 1 species